rnacentral:rRNA from 1 species
UACGUAGGUGACCAGCGUUGUCCGGAUUUACUGGGCGUAAAGAGCGCGCAGGCGGUCGUUCAAGUCGAGUGUGAAAGCCCCCGGCUCAACUGGGGAGGGUCACUCGAUACUGAUCGACUUGAAGGCAGGAGAGGGAAGCGGAAUUCCCGGUGUAGUGGUGAAAUGCGUAGAUAUCGGGAGGAACACCGGUGGCGAAGGCGGCCUGCUGGGCAGUAGCUGACGCUGAGGCGCGACAGCGUGGGGAGCAAACAGG